GGCCCCGUGGCGCAACUGAAUAGCGCAUCAGAUUUCGGCUCUGAGGGUUGGGGGUUUGAAUCCCUCCGGGGUCA
rfam:Tamlana nanhaiensis strain FHC16 contig19, whole genome shotgun sequence.